AACUUUUAGCAACGGAUCUCUUGGCUCUCGCAUCGAUGAAGAACGCAGCGAAUUGCGAUAUGUUAGUGUGAAACGCAGAACAGUGAAUCAUCGAGACUUUGAACGCACCUUGCGCUCUCCGGUCUUCCGGAGAGCAUGCCUGUUUGAGUGUCGCUAAACCCCCUUAGGCCGAAAGGUCUGAUUCGGAUGUGUGCCGUGUUUGGCUCCGUCUAAGAUGCAAUUGGAACGUGGCCAGCGCCAUGUCUUCCGGGACAUUUGAUCGUAAUUACCUUCAUGCGUCUCUUCAGGAAGAUGUUGGCUGUUGUGCUCCCCUCUGCGGAGUUGCCCUUGUGGUGCCGUGGUGUGGUCUCUUAGUGACGUGGCCUCAGAUCAGGUAGGACUACCCGCUGAACUUAAGCAUAUCAAUAAGCGGAGGCU
rnacentral:misc_RNA from 1 species